UAUUUCACAGCCUCGUGAAAUUUCAUGAAAUAUAUCCCUGAAAUUUCCAAUUUUUCAUUUCUUUCUUCCGUCUCAUGCUACCCUGGGCCGGGCCACUACUCCAUAGAAAGGGGAAAAAACAAAACAAAUUUUUGGAGGGCACUAUCUGCCAAUGAUCUAUUACGCUGAUAACUUCUAACUGAUAUCGGUAAGGCGGUCAGUCGGUCACCCUAAUUUUACAGUGACCGGUCGGUCAGUGGAUCAAUGAAGUUGCCGCAGAGAAAAUAGUUUCUUUACUUUUCUUGUAGCGCUUUGUUAUGAGCACCGGAAAGUUAGGUGAGUGAUAUUCUGAAAACCCGGGAAAAAUUAUUCACACCUUUCAUCCUUUCAUGAGGAGUUAUGUGAUGGAGGGAUGUCCAAAUACAGCAGUUACAUAGAAAGAGGCACAUUAGCGCCAGACGGACUUGGAGCCUGGGAGAUUCGUUUAGCCCCGUUGCGGGCUGGGGCUGCCCAGGAAAAACCCUCAUGACGAGCCAACGCAUUCUUUCGGGUAGGUAUUAUGUGAUGCAUCGAUUUUCGGAUUGAUGUCAUAAAGACUCCAAAAUUUCUCGCGUUUCUCUCAUAAUGUAAUUGAGGAGUGAUUCCAAUAAAUUUAAAAACAAAUUUAAAAAAAAAAGAAAAAAAAAAAAAACACCCUUGCACUUCGUUUUUGAAUUGCAUUGAAAUUCUGGCACUAUAUUCAAAUAAACUUUCGCAUCAAUUUACUUGAAUAAAUUAGAGCAAUACGGGAACCACUAUUACAGGUUGAUCUAACAGAAAGAACAACUGAGCUAUUGGUUUCCCUGGGCAGAUAGGUGUUUUUUAUGAUGAGCCGCUGCCGUUACCUAGUAUAACUGCAAACUGCAUUGUAGACUCAAAUCCAUAUUCAACGAGUGAAAUCGGCAUCAAUGCAUUUAAUCAGCUGAGAGAGGCGCGAAAGUCCCACGCAGCGGCGUUGCCUCACCGACAAAUUCCUUAAGAAUAAUAGAAAGCAGACUGCGUAAUAGCGGGCAACCAGAUAUUUUUUUGAUAUAUUUUACUCACCAUCUGGCAAUCAAAAUUCCACUCGUGUACCAUAACAUAACCUAUGACGCGUGUGGUGGUCUGCAGUUUGUUUACAAUCAACAAUGAAGCUUUGCACAUCGAAAAAUUGAGAUAUGUUAAUGAUAUGUGAGUGAAAACAGUGAUAACAGUGAAAACAUGCGAAAAUCUACGUUGGAAGUUGUUAUGCAGCGGCAUUUUUUAUUUUCCUCUAACUUAGUUUAUCAGUGAUUAUUGGAUGAAAACCUGUGGAAAUCUACUUUGGAAUUAGACUUUAAUCUGUGUCCUUUUGGAAUGUGUGAAGAGACGGAGGAGGAAUCAUUUUCGGACUAACAACAAGUGUGCACUACACUGAACUGCAGAAGUUGAAGGAUUUGUUAGGACCAUCCGAAGCUCUAGCGAUGAUCAGGCCAAAUAUGCGACCCUGUCCUGCUGUUCCCUGCCAAGGUUGCAUGAAAAAAAUAGGAGUCAACAUGAAAAGAAAGGAACAGAGUAAGUCUUGUAAGGCCAGUGAUGAUGCAAUUUUUCUAAAAAUCACUACCUGAUCCUUGAAUUCUUGGAAUUUGUCUAUUCUUGCACGGAGCGAAGAAUGCCUCAUAGUGUGGAAUAUUUUGGAAGACCAUGUGCAAA